rnacentral:tRNA from 1 species
GCGGAGUAGAGCAGUGGUUAGCUCAUCGGUCUCAUAAGCCGAAGGUCGUUGGUUCGAAUCCAACCUCACGCA